UAAAAUUCAAAUACAACUCUCAUAGUUUUACAAUUUCUCACUUUAGUAUCAUAUGAUUUAAAAUGUAUCAAGUUAGUAUACUAUAAUUUUAUUUUAAUUUUUUCGUCAAUUUUUUCGUUAAUAUUUUGUUAAAUUAUAUACAAAAAAAACUUCAGAUACCCCACCUUGGUUUAUCAAAUAUUUAUUUUAGUACUCUUUAAUUUUAGCUUUAUCAUUGAUUUAACGAAAAAAAAUUAGUGGAAUCGAUAAUAAAAACAUAAAAAUGAAACCAAAAAGUACUAAAUUGAUACACUUUAAACCAUAAAGUAUUAAAGUAAGAAAGUAUGAAAUCAUACAAAUGAUAUUUAAAGUUUUUUCUUUAAUUUUUGAGUGAUUGAAGUGUUUUUAUCUUAUGAUGGUCAGAACUAAAC
rnacentral:lncRNA from 1 species